UGUAAGGUAGUGCACCACCCUUCUCUCCUUCAAGCAAACUAUUCUUUUUAGGAUCAUCAGGAAAAUAUGGGGGUAGUCAAUCAAUCAGAAAGGCUUAACACUCUUCUUAACCUUCUCACACUCAAUACUCAACCUUCUCACACUCCUCUAUACCUUCAAUACUUUGGAGAACAUCUCCACGUAGGGACAAUUUUCAAUUAUGCCUCUUUUUUUCAGUGCUAUUUGAGUAAAUGGGACACCACAGGGAUGUUCUUUGUUCAUUUUACUGAUGUAAACCAG